rnacentral:rRNA from 1 species
UACGUAGGGUGCGAGCGUUAAUCGGAAUUACUGGGCGUAAAGCGUGCGCAGGCGGUUCGUUGUGUCGGUGGUGAAAGCCCCGGGCUUAACCUGGGAAUGGCCAUGGAAACUGCCCGACUAGAGGUAGGUAGGGGAGAUCGGAAUUCCUGGUGUAGCGGUGAAAUGCGCAGAUAUCAGGAGGAACACCGGUGGCGAAGGCGGAUCUCUGGGCCUUACCUGACGCUGAGGCGCGAAAGCCAGGGGAGCAAACGGG